rnacentral:rRNA from 1 species
GUGGGGAAUAUUGGACAAUGGGGGGAACCCUGAUCCAGCCAUGCCGCGUGUGUGAAGAAGGCCUUUUGGUUGUAAAGCACUUUAAGCGAGGAGGAGGCUACCGAGAUUAAUACUCUUGGAUAGUGGACGUUACUCGCAGAAUAAGCACCGGCUAACUCUGUGCCAGCAGCCGCGGUAAUACAGAGGGUGAAGCGUUAAUCGGAUUUACUGGGCGUAAAGCGCGCGUAGGUGGCCAAUUAAGUCAAAUGUGAAAUCCCCGAGCUUAACUUGGGAAUUGCAUUGGAUACUGGUUGGCUAGAGGAUGGGAGAGGAUGGUAGAAUUCCAGGUGUAGCGGUGAAAUGCGUAGAGAUCUGGAGGAAUACCGAUGGCGAAGGCAGCCAUCUGGCCUAAUACUGACACUGAGGUGCGAAAGCAUGGGGAGCAAACGGGAUUAGAUACCCCUGUAGUCC